AUUUAUAUAGUUUAUAAUAAAACAUUACAUUUUCAUUGUAAAAAUAAAAUUAAAUUUUUAUAAAUA
rnacentral:tRNA from 1 species